rnacentral:lncRNA from 1 species
GCAUUAUUUAUAAGAAAGAUAAUGAUUUAAUCUUCCUAACAUUAAAUGAGUCACUUGCAAGGAUAAAAUUUAAAGCCUUAACAUUACACAAAUUAACUUAGUCCAAUAAUAGAGCAAAGGUGGUUAUACCUGUUGGGUAUAAAAUAAAAAUGUUUAGUUUCUGAGCUCUUCCCUGUUCCUUGAAGGUGGCAGUGGAGUACAUUUGCAUGGCUUCACUGCUGAAGCAGCAAGUGAAUAGAUUCAGAAUGUUUCACAAAAAGAGUAGUAAAAGCAUUCUAUGUUAAGGUGAAGGUGUUUUGUCUUCAAGGUACCAUGUAGAAGGCUGGGACUAUUUCUAUACCACAGUCCCUUUUUUAUUUGUUUGUAAGAUAAUGCAGAAAGGUAAGAUAUUAGUAGGCAGAACCCCUACAUGAAAAUUGUGGUCUUUAAGUGUCUUAAAAUCAUUCUUUUACUAUUCUAUAGGAACAACUAUAAACAGUAAGACGAAGAAAAAUCAAGAGCUCCUGGGAUUAUGAGAUACUUGGAUAAUUGGGGAUUACUUACACUUCUACUCCCCAUGGAAAGCAUCUCAGUGGUACAAUGGUUCCCUCUCAAAUAGGGUUGAUGAUUGGAGAGGACUGUCCAAGACCAACAGAGUAUUCCUGAAACCACAGGUCAUAUUGAAUUCAGUAAUUGCACAAUUUUUGUCUCAAAUUUACUGAAGAAACAAAGACAAGACACUUAUGCAGUGAAGGGGCAUAGUUUCAUUUUCUU